rnacentral:tRNA from 1 species
GGGCCGUUAGCUCAGUCGGUAGAGCAGCUGGCUUUUAACCAGUUGGUCGCAGGUUCAAGUCCUGCACGGCCCACCA